rnacentral:rRNA from 1 species
AUUGAACGCUGGCGGCAUGCUUUAUACAUGCAAGUCGAGCGACCAGGGGGAGGGCUUUGUCUUUCUGCCGUAGCGUCGCAAGGGGGUGUGUCAUGUAUCGAACCUACUUGUGAAACUGGGGUAAACCACGCGAACCGGAGCUUAUUCCCGCAUAUAUCUUGAACCGCAUAGUUGAGUAGUUAGGAACAGGUUUGCCGUCUUUUAUAGAUGCGAUGUCGGAUUAGCUAGUUGGUGAGGUAAAGGCUCACCAAGGCGAAGAUCUGUAGCGGGUCUGAGAGGAUGAUCCGCCACACUGGGACUGAGACACGGCCCAGACUCCUACGGGAGGCAGCAGUGGGGAAUUUUGGACAAUGGGGGCAAGCCUGAUCCAGCCAUGCCGCGUGUAUGAAGAAGGCCUUAGGGUUGUAAAGUACUUUUGUUAGGGAAGAAAAGUCAGCUGUGAAUAAUGGCUGGUACUGACGGUACCUAAAGAAUAAGCACCGGCUAACUACGUG